rnacentral:rRNA from 1 species
GGGUUGUGAGGUUAAGCGACUAAGCGUACACGGUGGAUGCCCUGGCAGUCAGAGGCGAUGAAGGGCGUGCUAAUCUGCGAUAAGCGCCGGUAAGGUGAUAUGAACCGUUAUAACCGGCGAUACCCGAAUGGGGAAACCCAGUGUGAUUCGUCACACUAUCAUUAACUGAAUCCAUAGGUUAAUGAGGCGAACCGGGGGAACUGAAACAUCUAAGUACCCCGAGGAAAAGAAAUCAACCGAGAUUCCCCCAGUAGCGGCGAGCGAACGGGGAGGAGCCCAGAGCCUGAAUCAGCAUGUGUGUUAGUGGAAGCGUCUGGAAAGGCGCGCGAUACAGGGUGACAGCCCCGUACACAAAAGCGCAUGUGCUGUGAGCUCGAUGAGUAGGGCGGGACACGUGGUAUCCUGUCUGAAUAUGGGGGGACCAUCCUCCAAGGCUAAAUACUCCUGACUGACCGAUAGUGAACCAGUACCGUGAGGGAAAGGCGAAAAGAACCCCGGCGAGGGGAGUGAAAAAGAACCUGAAACCGUGUACGUACAAGCAGUGGGAGCCCCACCACUAAGCCAGUGGUGAACUCCACAUACGCAU